GACGAACGCUGGCGGCGUGCUUAACACAUGCAAGUCGAACGGUGAAGCGCCUUCCUUUUUGGUGGGUGUGGAUGCGUGGCGAACGGGUGAGUAACACGUGAGUAACCUGCCCCCUUCUUCUGGAUAACCGCAUGAAAGUGUGGCUAAUACGGGAUAUUCUGGGUCUGUCGCAUGAUGGGUCUGGGAAAGAUAUUGUUUCGGUGGGGGAUGGGCUCGCGGCUGAUCAGCUUGUUGGUGGGGUGAUGGCCUACCACGGCGGUGACGGGUAGCCGGCCUGAGAGGGUGGACGGGCCGACUGGGGCUGAGAAACGGCCCAGACUCGAACGGGAGGCAGCCGAGGGGAAUAUGGGACGAUGCGGGGGAGCCUGAUGCAGCGAGGCCGCGUGAGGGAUGGAGGCCUUCGGGUUGUGAACCUCUUUCGCCAGGGAAGCAGGCCUGCCUCGUUUGUGGGUGGGUUGACGGUAGCUGGAUAAGAAGCGCCGGCUAACUACGUG
rnacentral:rRNA from 1 species